rnacentral:rRNA from 1 species
AUUGAACGCUGGCGGCGUGCCUAACACAUGCAAGUCGAGCGGUAACAGGUGUAGCAAUACAUGCUGACGAGCGGCGGACGGGUGAGUAACGCUUGGGAAUCUGCCUAUUAGGUGGGGGACAACCCGGGGAAACUCGGGCUAAUACCGCAUACGCUCUACGGAGGAAAGCCGGGGACCGCAAGGCCUGGCGCUAAUAGAUGAGCCCAAGUCGGAUUAGCUAGUUGGUAGGGUAAGGCCUACCAAGGCGACGAUCCGUAACUGGUCUGAGAGGACGACCAGUCACACCGGAACUGAGACACGGUCCGGACUCCUACGGGAGGCAGCAGUGGGGAAUAUUGGACAAUGGGCGAAAGCCUGAUCCAGCGACGCCGCGUGGGUGAAGAAGGCC